UCGAACGAUAUCCUGGGCGUCCAAGUAGCAAUAUGAGGACGUCCUGGUGACAGUGGCGAAAGGGUGAGUAACGCGCGGGUAAUCUGCCCUCAAGUUGGGGAUAGCUCUGCGAAAGCGGAAUUAAUACCGAAUGUGGUCGUCCUUCUUAUGAAGGAUUAUCCAAAGCUGGGGACCGCAAGGCCUGGCGCUUGAGGUUGAGCCCACGUACUAUCAGCUUGUUGGCGAGGUGACGGCUCACCAAGGCGAUGACGGUUAGCUGGUCUGAGAGGAUGGUCAGCCACACUGGGACUGAGACACUGCCCAGACUCCUACGGGAGGCUGCAGUCGAGGAUCAUUCGCAAUGCGCGAAAGCGUGACGGUGCGACGCCGCGUGCAGGAUGAAAGCCUUCGGGUCGUAAACUGCUGUCAUGAGGGAACAAUGUCCGGGACGUUAAUAACGUACCGGGGUGAUAGUACCUCAGGAGGAAGCCACGGCUAACUCUGUGCCAGCAGCCGCGGUAAUACAGAGGCGGCGAGCGUUGUUCGGAUUUACUGGGCGUAAAGGGUGCGUAGGCGGUUCUGUGUGUCGGACGUGAAAUCUCACGGCUCAACUGUGGAAUUGCAUUUGAUACUACAGAGCUGGAGUACAGGAGAGGAGAGCG
rnacentral:rRNA from 1 species